rnacentral:rRNA from 1 species
AUUGAACGCUGGCGGAAUGCUUUACACAUGCAAGUCGAACGGCAGCACGGGGGUAACCCUGGUGGCGAGUGGCGAACGGGUGAGUAACACAUCGGAACGUGCCCAAUCGUGGGGGAUAACGUAGCGAAAGCUACGCUAAUACCGCAUACGAUCUACGGAUGAAAGCGGGGGAUCGCAAGACCUCGCGCGAAUGGAGCGGCCGAUGGCAGAUUAGGUAGUUGGUGGGGUAAAGGCUCACCAAGCCAACGAUCUGUAGCUGGUCUGAGAGGACGACCAGCCACACUGGGACUGAGACACGGCCCAGACUCCUACGGGAGGCAGCAGUGGGGAAUUUUGGACAAUGGGCGCAAGCCUGAUCCAGCCAUUCCGCGUGCAGGAUGAAGGCCUUCGGGUUGUAAACUGCUUUUGUACGGAACGAAACGGCCCUUUCUAAUACAGAGGGCUAAUGACGGUACCGUAAGAAUAAGCACCGGCUAACUACGUGCCAGCCGCCGCAGUAACAC